UACGUAGGGACCAAGCGUUGUUCGGAUUUACUGGGCGUAAAGGGCGCGUAGGCGGCGUGUUAAGUCACUUGUGAAAUCUCUAAGCUUAACUUAGAACGGUCAAGUGAUACUGAUGUGCUAGAGUGCAGAAGGGGCAACCGGAAUUCUUGGUGUAGCGGUGAAAUGCGUAGAUAUCAAGAGGAACACCGGUGGCGAAGGCGGGUCUCUGGGCCGAUACUGACGCUGAGGAGCGAAAGCGUGGGGAGCGAACAGG
rnacentral:rRNA from 1 species